UACGGGGGAGCAAGCGUUGUUCGGAUUUACUGGGCGUAAAGGGCGCGUAGGCGGUCAGCACAAGUCAGUUGUGAAAUCUCCGGGGCUUAACUCGGAAAGGUCAACUGAUACUGUGCGAACUAGAGUGCGGAAGGGGCAACUGGGAAUUCUCGGUGUAGCGGUGAAAUGCGUAGAUAUCGAGAGGAACACCUGCGGCGAAGGCGGGUUGCUGGGCUGACACUGACGCUGAUGCGCGAAAGCUAGGGGAGCGAACGGG
rnacentral:rRNA from 1 species